GCAUCUUCAGUUACAGUUUUCGCUGAACAUCAUAUAAUGAAAACUAUUGCUGCACUUUGAGGGAAAUAUUGUUCAAAGAGCACUGCUAAAGAAUUAAAAUGUUUCAGGUCACAAGCAGGAUUCAGCUAUCAAUUUGUAAGGAACGUUUCCACAGAUACAAUUCUAGAUAACAGUGAGCUCCUAAUGCCAAGAGGUUGAUUUUUCAGAUCAUUCCAGUCUCUGAACCAAGAAAAGUAAACAAUCGAAGGAGGUAACAUGUUUGUCACCAAAUAAUGUGAAUGUAAUCUUCUUUCCUCUUUCUUAUGUUAUUUUUUUUUAUAUCAAAACAAAAAGAUUGGUUCUUUCUAGCACCCCAAGAAAAAGAUCCGUGAACAUGUCAUCAUGUCUCCCAUUUAGACGAGCAGUAGGAACUCACUCUGAUGGAGGCUCUUCCACAAAUCUCUGUAGCUGCUCAAAUGCUGCUCCAGUGAUGAUACUUCCCAGGAACACGUUGACAAGGAUAAAAAAAUGAUAUUUAGUUGCUGAUCUUCUGUCCAAAGAUGAAAGUGAUGUAUAGCCUUCUAUUUUUGACAUGGCCAUUAGAAUCGUAGGAAGAAGAAUCAGAAAAAUCUUCAGUAUAAUCCCAGGAAGAACACCUUGGAUAAAAGAUUUGACAACUUCCCUGUAACAGGAAUUCCAGAAGAAAGAACCUCAAAAAUUGAUUUAUUAAAUACUCCCUCUGUUCCAGUUUAUGUGAACCUAUUUCCUUUAUGGUCCGUUCCAAAAAGAAUGACCCCUUUCUAAAUUUGGUAACAAUUUAGUUUAAACUUACAAUUCUGCCCUUAAUGAGAAGCUUUUAUAACCACACAAAUACUCUGGG
rnacentral:lncRNA from 1 species